GAAGAGAACAGCCUUUUUAGGUUUCUUGGUCACCUUGGGGGGCACAGGCCGGGGGAGGCCAUUGAGGCCGAAGCCAGGGCCAGGGCCAAGGCCCUGGCUGGCCUCUCGAGCCACCAAGCUCAUGCUCAGGUCCAUGCCGCCCCGCUAUGCCCACGCAGCCAGCAGCCCAAACUGCCAGCCGUCAGCCCCCACCACCAACCUCCCCACACGCAGCGCUCUGGGCCAGGCCGCGCGAUCAAAUUCUGCCGCGGUGCUGGAAAGGAGCCCACGCCUGCCCUGGCACUGCUGCCUUCUGUGCAGAUGUAACCCGAGUGGCCCCACAGCCAUGCCCAGCUAAAUAUAAAACUGCCCAAUCUGAGCCCCCCCAGGAGCCAUGGCACAGGCCUGGGAGCAGCCCCCCAGGGACUGGGUCACCCUGAAAAUGAGACUUUCUAGUGGACACAGCCCCCACAAGAGCACCGGGGAGCAGAGAGAUUCCCAGAGGCAGGCAUGGAGGUGCCCGCCGGCCCCCAUGCCCAGUGCAGGGUGGGGGCCAGUCACCCACGUCCCGGCACCCAGCUCAGGCCAGCAGAGUUCACUGGGCUUGGAGAAACCCCAGCUAUUUUGAGAAUCCGUGAAAUAGAUCAUCCAUUUCCCCUUCUGAGCUGUGAGAGACACUUGGAUUAUUUCCCUUGUGCAUUUAUGCUCCCAGGGAGGUGACAGAUUCCGGGGUUAUUGGUGCAGAGAGCCUCUCUAUGUGUGGAAAGGGUCGGGAAACCAGGAAGUUUCCAGAAAGCACCACAGCCUAGGCUGAUGAGGCCCCUCAGAGGCUGAGGCUGAUGAGGCCUCGGCCCUGCCUCCCUGACCUCCCUCUCCAUAUAUUUCUCACUAGAUCCACCCAGGCCAUGUUUAAGGCCACCUUCAGAGCAGUCUUCCUGCCGUGUCAGCCCAACUUAACCCCCUUGUCCAGACCCUGAGCCCCCCAAAGCCCAGAGCACACAGCCUGUGCGUGCACACGCUGGCUCUCCCUGAGCCCCAACGGCAGAGGCACAGUGCUGGGUGGGCGGGAGGGUGCCCCAGGGAUCUGCCCCACCCACCCCACACAGGUCAAAGCAGUGCAAGCGUGAACUGCUGGAGGAGCUGCACGGAGGCCCAGUGGGCUCAUGAUCCGGAUCCUGGAAAGGCCUGAGUGUCUCGAGCUCCACACCUACCAGGCAGGGCUGGGUCUGACCCCAAGUCAGCCGCUGGGCAGCAGGUGCUGAGGACCCUUCCCACCCCUGGUGGGCCCUCAGUCAGCAGCAGCAUGGGGAAGAGGUGCAGGACACAAAACCCCAGGCAGGGCCCCAGCCACCCACCUGCUGAUGGAUCCUCUGCAGCUGCAGGCCCCCCUGAGGGACUCCCCUCACACACACCCCAACAGUGGGAAAGGUAGAGGACAUGGUGGGUGGCACACGGGACUAAAUCCAGCCCUGCCAUACAGUCAUUUGUCUCUGGGCCUCAGCCCGCAGUUACAUAAGAAAGCACACACUUCUUGGGAGUAUGGGGGUCCCGUGAGACAACACCAGCGUGGUGCCUGAGAGGGGCAUAGUGACCCCAAAACCUUGGGCCCCGUGGAGCUGCCACGCAUGGACCUGGGUUCAGAUCCCGGUUCCCCUGCUGGCCAGCUGGUGGCUGCAGCACUCACCCCCAUUACGGACAUGAGGGUAGGAGACGGCCCAGCAUCCAAGAAGUGCUGGCCAAGCUGCCUAUUGUUGCUGCACUAGACAGAGCUCUGCCAGGCCAUGUGGCACGGGGGCACGGUUCACUAAACCCCUCUAAGCCACAGCGGGGAAGAACACGGCCAGCCACAGGGAGGACCAGGCCCACCAACAGGACUUGCGGGAGAGGCAAGGGGCGCACACAGAAUGUGCCACAAAGGGCUAGAACAGCAGGGCCCCUGGCAGGCACAGGGCCUGCCCCAUGGCUGCAGGUAUAUUAAUAGUUGCUGGGUCCCAGGCGGCCAGUGCCCGCAUGCCUUCAGAGCCCGUGUGGUCCACAAGAAGGCAGCACCGUGCCUACGGGGAGAAGAGGCCUCUGAGUUCCUGCUGAACCACUCAACAGCUUAAAAUACAACCAGCCCCUCUCCCUGCAGGCCAGCUGCAGGGGGAGGGCUGAAAUUCUACCCUCCCCCCAACUAGGCACCGCACCAGGGCCCAGGAGUGGAGGACAGCCCAUCAGGGCCCCAACUGGCUGCUGGGAGAAGCAGCUAGGUGGCAGGAGGGGGUGGCCAGGAGAGGGGCCGUGCUCCCAGCAGACGCUUCAAUGUGCCCAGGCCAGCCCGAGACCGAAGAGGCGCAGCCGAGCCCUCGCCAAGGAUGGUGCUGUCAGAUCAGCAAGCUGGAAGAGGCUGGAGACACUGACCCCUGAGGACACAGGCUGACCGGAGCAACAGGAAGGACAAGCUCAUCCAGGCCAACACCCCACCUGCACCCAGCACUCCUGGCCCGAGUGCAGCAGGCAGGUUACGGACCUGCCUCUGAGCCAUCAACUGUUGCACCCUCUGGAACCCAGAGAUCUGUCAUCAGGGACAUGGUGAGAAGUCCUCAAAGGUAGAUCUCUGAGUCAUAAGGCGGUAGGGCGGGGUGAGGAUGAGUCAGUACCCAGCCCUUAAUCAUCCAGGUUCAGUUCUAGAAACUUCUGAAGCUACAGCUUUUGGGGACUUCUGGGUAACAGCCAAAGCUGUGGUCUUCAGAAACUUUACUAUCCUUUUCACCAGGCCUAUCUGGACAAAACAGGUGAAAACACAAAGGUAUUUUAUAACCACACUUCCUAAAGUAUCGAUCUUUUUCUAUUGGCAUUUGCGGAGCUCAUAGUAUCUUGAAACCCUUCGUGCCCUCACUCCCUGCCCUAUUGAGGGGCACAGGGAGAGUACUCACUCUGAGGCCACAAGUUAAAAUCCUACCAAGUUGAAUUAUUUGAGGUGCCUAAUUGUGAGGUGCUGAGGGGACAGAGUUGAACCCCUAAAAUCUAGCCACGUUUUUGCUACUUGGCCAGUUCUGAAGCCUGCACCCCAGACCACUGAGGACCAUCCAGGCAAGUUGGCCAGUUCUGGGUCCAGCAUCUCUGAAGUGGUUUGAGUAGGCACUAGGUACAUGUUCCGUAUCCUUGGGUUCCAGCUAGGUAAGGUAUGUGGCAUCAUGGCCAAAUAGAUGACAUUUUUUGAGAGAUUCCACGCACAUUCCUACAAACUUGGAACAUUCUGGAAUUCACCUUUUGAGGCUGCUUUCCUGAGCCCCACUCUUACUCAACAGGCACUAUGUCAUUUUGUGAACAAUUUUGUGUAUGCUGUGUGCCAACUGGGGCAUACAAAUAAUUUCCACUCCCUGCUCACCCACAAGUUCAUUGAAAGUCAGGUCCCAGCCUCUGGAGGAGAAUUCUUCUUUGUUUUUUGGCGAGUACUGCAGGAGUGAGGACAUCUUGUUGGCCUCAUCUGGCUUCCAGUAGCCAGGCUGUCAGCAGAAAUCAAAUCCACCCUCAGAAUGAAGACUGGCCACUUUGUUCAGCCAUUCAUGACACUGUUCUGUGGCUCUGGCUGUGCCCGUCGUUAGGGACAGCUAAAUCGUGCUUGUGUCCUCAGAAUCGCCAACACAGUUGGCUAAUUCAUAACAGUGACAAGUAACAACAUUCGGUGUUUGCUGAGCCGACUGUAACAAUCCCCUUGAGAGCAGCUUCCAAAGGGGAAAUUCCAGAAAGGACUUGCAUUUGGCAGCACUAAAAGAUAAGUGGGGCAUCCUGGGUCUUGGAUUUGGGGGAACCAACAGUCAUUUGUAUGUCGAAACUCUGGUGUGUUUGGUUGUGUUCAGCUCACAAGCUCCUUUUGUAUUACCCACACAUGGUAAGGUAGGAUCUUGAUUUUACUGGAACCUGGUUUGGCUGGUUUGGGGGUACGUGAUCGAGCUGAUUCAGAGCAUGUGAGGGAAGCUGAGAACAGACAAGCUGAGGCUGGUUAGCAACUUUCUGGUUGGCUGUGGCAGGAGCCCCAGAGAGAGGUUUCCCAAGCCCUGCCCUGUUUUGCCUUUAUUUUUAUUGUAAAGCCCAUGGGAUGUUUUUUUCUUUCUUUGUUUUUUAUUGAAGGAUAAUUUACAUAGAGUGAAAUUCACCUUUUUCAGUAUCUAGUUCUGAAUACAGACAGUGGUGUAACCACCACCAGUCAAGAUAGAAGACAUUUCUAUCAUUACAAAAAUUUCCCCCAUACCUCUCUGUAGUAGAUCCUAGCCCUUGGAAACCACUGAUUUGCUUUCUGCCCCAAUACUUUUGCCUUUUCCAGAUGGUCCUAUAAUAUGGCAUCACACAGUAUAUAGUCUUUAGAGUCUGGUUUCCUUCACUAACAAUGUAUUUGAGGUUUGUCUGCAUUGUUUCCUGUAUCAGUAGCUUGUUCCUUUUUAUGGCUGAAUAAUAUUCCUUUGUGUGGCUAGA